UACGUAGGGUGCAAGCGUUAAUCGGAAUUACUGGGCGUAAAGCGUGCGCAGGCGGUUGUGCAAGACAGGUGUGAAAUCCCCGGGCUUAACCUGGGAACUGCACUUGUGACUGCACGGCUGGAGUACGGCAGAGGGGGAUGGAAUUCCGCGUGUAGCAGUGAAAUGCGUAGAUAUGCGGAGGAACACCGAUGGCGAAGGCAGUCCCCUGGGUCAAGAUUGACGCUCAUGCACGAAGCGUGGGAGCAACAGGA
rnacentral:rRNA from 1 species